rnacentral:sRNA from 1 species
ACUCUUUCAAUUUGACUUCAAUUUCAUCACUGAUUCGCGCUACUCCUUCAAUUUCAUGCACCCUUCAUCACUACUUCGCGCUACUCCUUCAAUUUCACGCACAUCUUCAUCACUGCUUCGCGCUACUCCUUCAAUUUGACGCACAUCUUCAUCACUGCUUCAUGCUUCUCCUCGUGUCAUCAGUGCAUUAGGGCUCCUUCGGCAGUUCUCCUUGAAUUUCACAUUUACGUCUUUGCUCGCUCCUUCGUUUCUCUGCCAUUUUGUUCAAUUUGUGUGGCAUUGCCUUAGGGCUCCUUCGUUUCAGGGCUUCCAUUUUCAGGUAUCACGUUCCCUCUCCCUCCUUCUCUUCUCUGUUUCGUUUCUUCUUUGACUUAUUUUCAUGAAAACGCGUUUUAAUCAGGUGUUGAUCGCGCCAUUGGUGUACUGGGUGUAGGAUCUGUGUUCGUGCACUGGGUUUAGGAACCCAUUCUCACUCGCUUCGUUGCUAGGGCAAACCUUGAGGGAGAACGACACUCCUCUGGCGCAACACACAAAACGAGAGUUCCAGCAUGCUUGAAGCGUAUCUGCGUCCACAAACAACAUAUGAAAUAAGAUCGUUCAAGUGCUGCUGCAAAACCCAACCUCACUAGACGUUUAGCGUGCCAACGGUGAUCACCGGAGAAGGCAGCCCCUCCAUGCGUGCAACAACACCUUCUAUGCAGAUUUCCA